GAGUGAAAUAUUUAUUGGGAAAGCAAUAAAAUAAGUGAAGUAAAACCAUUCAUUAACAACUUUAUGUUAACUGCAAUGUUAUGGAUGUUGAAGUUAUGAGAAAUUGUACCAACAACUUCGGCUUGAGACAACGUUCAAUGGCGGUCAACACAGUAGUCAAUUUUAUCUUUAUUAUUGUAUUAAUGAUGUGUUUAACAAAUAUCGCAGAUUGUUACUACAUUCAAAGCAACAUUUCCAAACAUGAUCUAUUAGAAGCACUUCUCAAUCCUAGUCGUUACGACCCAAGUAUACCACCAGAAUACAUUACAGAAGAAGGAGCAACAACCAAAGUGAAAAUUCAGCUAACGAUCCAUGAUAUUAUUUCUGAGAAUGAGAAGAUUAUGGAAUUUUCUUGCUUGAUGUACGUGAGGAUGUACUGGACAGACAGCCGCUUGGACUACUCCAACAAUGCGUCAUACUCUAAUCUAAAAGUAAGCGGUUCAUUUAUAUCAAAGGUUUGGGUCCCUGAUAUAUUCUUCACUCAGAACCGUCAAAGUUAUUUUACUGGCGUGAUUGGAAAAAAAUGAAUUGAUAUAUAUAGGAAGAUAUGGAAAUAUCACGUUCAGUGGAAGGAUCGCAACAACACUGCUUUGUAAAAUGGAUCUUCGACUUUAUCCAUAUGAUCUGCAACUGUGUCAAAUAUCACUCCAAAGCUAUACGUAUACUGAAGAGGAGGUUCAACUUUUCUGGACAAUAGAUCAUCCUGUGGUGGUACAUGGUAAGACUAUAAAAGAGUACCCCGCAUGGAGAAACAGAACAUUUGUAUCUCCGGGGGUAAAUUCAGUGGGCAAUUUUUCUAACUUGAACACGGGAAUACAAAUAAAGAGGUAUACACAUUCAGAAAGUCAGACUAUAUGUACCCCUAUGGUACUAGUUUUGAUUGCUAUGACGUCCUUUAGUUUCGGUGAUAAUUUCACACCAAGGGUUGCACUUUCCGGGGCUUCCAUGACAACAAUUAUAAUGCACUGGGCGGGAAUUUAUAAUAAGAUCCAACCAGCCGCUACUUUGAGCUGGCUCGACAGCUGGAUGCUUAUCAACCUCUGCUUUGUUGGAGGAAUUAUUUUCUAUACAGCUAUAAGCUACCAUGCCAAGCAUCCAAGAGAAGUAGAGGAGUUUAAACAUUUAAUUGAAGAUACAAUAAGUAUUCAGCUUGGUAAUUGCAAGCAAAGGUUGCCAAAAUGGAGUGAGGUUAAGAAAAGCGAUGAAACACAAACCAGAUGAAACUGAGAAGGAAACAAUACUUGACAAUUCUUUAACCUCUUCUUAUGAAGAAAUUCGUUUUACUUGGACGGUUGAUCGUAGAUUUUAUGCUGUACAGAAUGACGAAUUAAGGGAAAAGUAUUUUAGAGACUUUGUUAAGGAUAAAGAACGGAACAAGCCUGAAAUAAGAUUAUUGAGGAAAUGUAAGCAAUAUUCCGGCAGGUUUAUUUUAGAUGUUGUCGGGUUCGUCCUAUUUUUACUGGGAUACAUUCUUUUUACAGUGAUAUACGCUUUUAUCUGGACACGAAAAGACUUUAAUUAAGCUGAGACUGAGUCUGUGUUAUUGACAUUCAUUGUUUAUAUUUUGAUUUAUCGUUGACAUCUAAGUUGUAACUUAGACAAAUGUAAUGAAAACGACUUAAAAACAUUUAAUUUUGUUUUCUUAACAGGACUACAUUUGAACGUACAAAUUUUAUAUUGCAACCUCUGGAAUCAUUAACAAUUUUUUUAAAUAUCAUAAUCGUCAAAAUCCCUCUAAAUAUUUAUUAAACAACUGUAUUAAGAACAUAUUAAAUUGAUAUGAGUUUCUAUAAUUUUAAAAUACUUAAUUUACUUUUAAAAAACUAAUGCAAUGUGUUGUAUCAGUGAAUGCUUGUAAAUAUUGGUAUAUACAACUUCCAGGUGUUUAUUAUUUAAUUCAAGUUGUUGCUAUUUUGAUAUUGUUGUUGUUGAUGAUGUUAGUGAUCAUGAUGAUGAUUAUGUUGUUGUUGUUAUAACUUCUGUCCUGACCAGGACAAUUUUUAUAUUGUCCAAUAAGUUAACAAAAAAUAAAGAAUUUUACUUGGUAAAAUAAAUAUUAUUGUUAAAUGGCUUAAAGGGUAAAUAUUUUUAUGAAAUAUAGAAACGGAAACGUUAAAUUUAUGUCAUUUCUAUACUCUGAAAGAGUUGUAAUAUAGAAUGUUUAUGUUAUCUUGCUCACAUAAAAACUGUUUGUAAACAGAAUAAAAAUGUUCCGGAACAAAUUAUUAUGGUGUUAUUAUUAAAAGGUUAAGGUUAAGGAAUAAUUUUGUGCAUGCUUCAUUCAA